UACACCGAUUUACAUUGCCACCAGCAGAGCACCAGUGUCGCCUUUUUUCCACACCCUCAUCGACACUUGUUACGUCUUAUCUUGUUGAUAAUAGCCAUUCUGAUCAGAUAUAGGAUGCAAACAUUUCUUCCAUUAUGUAGGUUGCCUUUUCAUUUUGUUGAUGGUUCCUUUGCUGUACAGAAGCUUUUUAGUUUGAUGUAGGCCCAUUUGUUUAUUUUUACUUUUGUUGCUUAGUUCUUAUUUUUUGUUGUCUGCUUUUGCCACACUGUGACUGACUCUUCUUUUGUCCAAAAGACAGGACACUGGCUGGUUAAUUAUGAAAGUAACAUUCACCACACAAACCCAGCAGAAAGAUUGUGGGGAAAACCAUUUCAGUUUAGGGUUAGACCCACCAGUUAGCGUUUCUCUUCACUUGCAGUUGAAAACACCUUAAUAUUGUGACAGGUAUUUAACAAGGAUAAGGUGAUAGUGGGAGACUCCUUCCAUCCAAACCCAACCUCCCCUAGAUUUGGAGUCUCAAUUAGAAAAAAUUAACUUCAAGAAAACAGUUUACCAAAAAUGUUUAAAUUCCUAGGUGAAAGAGGUUUUCUUACUCUUUUCUUUUUUUCUAGGCUCUGACCCCAUGGAAUAAAAGAGAUCCUAUUUAGGGACAGUUAGUUUUGCUGCCCAGAAGAUUCUCUCUCUUCUUUGGUGGGCUUUUAGAAAACUUUGGGUUACUUGAAUCCCAAAUUAACCCACGUUGUGCAACAUGUAAUCAAUUAGGGAGAUUUUUCAAUGGAAAUCAUCCAAUUUUGUAAGAAUUGGUUGACACUUUUCCCCUUUCUAAUAUGAUACACUUCCAUAGCUUCAUUCAUUCCUCUCCUAAUACUCUCUCAAAUAGAAGUUUCAAAUCAUUUGCCAUUUAGCAAGUGUUUUCUCCUAUCUUGUGAUUUACUCCUGUAACAUUUAAAGUAGACUCUACAGUUUACUGGAAGGUGUGACUAUGAUGCAAUUUCAGCCCUCCUGGCCUGUUCACAAUGGAAGUUUUGCCGUAAAAGAUGAAUUACGAUGUAAUAGCUGAGUAGAACUAAAAAAGUCAAUGCAGUUGCCCUUUGGUGCAUUUGGGGGCUAAUGAUAUUUAAGUCAAUAUGGCUGAAAAAGAAAAAUAAAUGUCAAACCAAAUACCAAAGAAUGAAUAACCUACUGCAAGAUCGCUAGAAUCAUAAGCAGUUACCGAUGCUCUAAGAUUGCUCUGAGAGCCCCGUCAAUACACGAGUCUCACGGUAAUUAAAAAAUUCUAAAAAGCCAAUACUUACUUUGUCAAACACACAAAUGGAAAUUGGAAAUCCAACCUGGAAUGUGAACAAAUUAACAGAGUUCUGAUUGUGCUCAAGCUGGGGCAGUUAGCAAUUAUUCUUGAAAGAAUAUUUCUGUCAAGAACUUUCUUCUAAAACUCAAAAUACUAGAGAAUCACACAAGCUGGAAAGGACUUAAGAAACUAUUUAGUUGCUUCGUUUUAUAUAUUUGGAAGCUGUGGCUCAGAAAAGUUACGUGACUUGCCCAUGGUCACGUUGCCAUGUGACUGUGACUCUUGGCUGGCCUGGUGAUCUUUAAAUUUGCUUAUCUUGAGGUCCUUGUCUUAUGUAUCAUCCCAAUUCUCUCUUCUAUUGUAAAAGAGCUCCUCCUUUAAAAAAUCUUGUCUCUUUGGCAUAUUAAUUAUUUUAGGCUGGUUAUUUUCUAGGAAACAGCAGACGUGAAAAAUUCUGAAAACUAAUUAGGAGUUACCCUUUUGUAAGAAACGUUUAUAUUUGUAAGGGAAAUCUCUAUACGCAAGGGUGUCUCCUUCCAUGUACCAGGAAGAGAAAGAUGACCAAAUCUCUAGAAAUUCUUAACCAUGAAGAAGGCAACGACUUAAAUCUGCAUAACGCCCUUACCAUUGUUUACUGUGCUUUUCCUGAUAAGCUCGCAUCAGAGAGUUACUGACUCUCCCAUCCUCAACAUCCUCUUUUGUCUUUAGCUGAAGAUGGUAUUUAAGAUGAGGGCUCAGUUCUCCUUUGUCUCUCCCGUGUGUAUUCACGUGACUCAACUUUUUGUUUGAUUUUCUCCUGUUAAUAUGUCUCAUGUCAAUUUACUUCUUAGACCAGCCCGAAGAACUUAGAAGGGUAGAGGAAGAUACCUUCCUCCUUGGUACAAUGUUAUAAUGUCAGUAAGUGUUGAAUGGAUGUCCCCUUGGCUCUAACACAUAAAUAAGUAAGGUGAAUUCUACAGAGAGAUUAUAGGCCAUAGGGCUUUCAGUGAGGCCAGACGGGCAGCUCCUCCGUAGGAGCUGGAUAAGGGCUCACAGGUGUUCAGUGAAAAAGACAGCAAUCCAACAUCCACAGCCUACACAGGAAUAAAAGAAACAAAGGAAAUUGAGUAUUCACAGCUCCUUAAAUAAGAAGGCCAGGCCCAUAUCAAAAGCCAGAGAACAGAGAUGGAAGAACUUGAAUACCAAAGACAGGAAAAUGGACAAAGAUAUCAGAAGAAUGAAGAAAGAGGGUGACAUCAAAGAUGACCAGAUGUUGUCAAAAGGCUGGAAGUAAAAAGCAGGCACUUGAUCCCAAGCUGCCCGCGUUUUGGUUUCCCUGGUACUGAGGACUGCCGUGCACCCUACUUCUUCUCAGCCCGGUUAACCCAGCUUCUCUGAACUGUCCCCAGGCUUCUGGAUAUUGCUCACCUAUGUGCUGGAUCUUCGCAGACCCCACAGCACUACAGAAUUCCAAGGAUGUCCACCCCUGUAAGAUCAGGUACUAGAACUCCAGGUUCUGCUACUUCAACUGGAUUCCUUGCAACCUCAUGACUGUGUAUGACUCGAUCCACAGUCAUGAGUCUCUUCCUAGGUAAAGUGAGUAAAUCAAUCAAUCUGUAUUUUAACAGAUACCUUCUGAAAACAUGCUUCAACCAAAAGUGGAAUUCUAAUGGUAGACACGUGGGCAUGGUGGGUUGUUAGAGCAGAGGUUUGUGGGUGGGGGACUUUGGGUACCUAAGUAGCGCACCACACACUGGAUCAACAACCCCAUCCCUUACGGAUACAGCAGACACGCCCUCCAAGAGCCAAAGUGGGUGUGCAGAACGCAUGUCCUAGAAAGGAAGAGAAUUUGGUAAUGGUUUCUUAGGAGAAAUAAGUCCCAAGUGGAAGUGGACGUUUGAGCAGAGUUUUAAAAGAAAAGUCAGGCUGGCACACCGGAAGCCUCCUGGGGUGAGGUUGAACCUCUGCAAAGCUCUGGUUUCUCAUUGCCCAUCUUGUUUUUCUCAGUUACAAAUCAGUCUGGCCCUUCCCUGUUUUCUUUAAUCAUCCUCCAUCAUUAGAGAGAUCAUCUCAGCCCAGAGACAGACCGCUAUUAUUUUGGCUUCUGGUUUGUAUUGUGUUAACUGCCUGAGAAGAUGUGCUGUCCGUCUCCUCGGGUAUAAAAUGGGGAUAACACCCCUAUCCUGGUGUGGUUGUUAUAAGGCUGGAACGUGAGGGGAAUUAAACAAAGUUGGGUUCCUGCCCCCUUGCCAAAAAUACUUUGACUAAUUUCGAAUACUUUGUUCAUUCAGUGAUUAUUUAUUGAGCACCUACUAUGGGCCAGGCACUGUUCUGAGUACCGUAGAGGUAGCAGUGGAUAAGAUAAAGUUCCUGUCGUUGUAAGGCUGACUUUCUAUUGGGAAGAAAUAGGCAAGGACCUGGUAAGCAAAUAAAUAAUAUAAACUCAGAUCAUCAGUGAAGAUAACAAACAGGACAAUAAAGUAAAGAAUGAGUGUGGGGUUGGAAGGAUCACAUACACAUCUUUCCAUGCUAAGCUAAGGUUUUAAACCAGUGUGCUAAAUUUUCCCAUAAGUGCUCAAACUGCUAAAUACAGUGAUUAAUAUGCCAGGACUCACUACUACCAGAUCAUCUUCCAGACCACGGGUCCUGAAUUGGGGUGGCAGACCUUAGUCUCUACAUUCAAGUUGCAUUUGCAUAGCAGGCUCAUCAGAGGGCCCAGGUGUAACUUGCCAUCUCAGUAGACCCUGAUGUCCACAGAGGGGCCACAUGAGGUUAAACCCAGGACCAGGUAUUUCAAGGGUGGCUGGCAGGGCUCUGCCUGGUUGUACACAGAACACCAAAAGUUAAACUAAGGUCUCUGACCCCUAGAUCCUUGGAGCCCCGGAGAGGCUACUGCUUUGUGUAGAUGAAGCUAAAGCCAGGAUCGUGACUGAAUUACAACCAGGAAACCACGUGUGGCAGCUGAACUGCUGGAGGUGUUGAGCCAGGACAGAGCAGCUCCUAAGUU